UCUUAAAAGAAAGCAUGCUUGGCUUCGCUUCACGCCCAACUUCUUCUGUUUCCGUCAAAAGCUCAACAUAAUGUUCGGGGAGCUAAUUUGCAAUAAAAUCAUUUCGCAAACUAUCUAAUUUAGGGUUUUAGGUGAAACAAAUUUUUCAGAGAUUACGAAUUUGAGGUAAGGGAGUGUGAGUUGUACACGCAUAUUGAGUGAACUUUAUAAGGAAAGCAUUUUGUGUGGCAGGUGUGUCUUCUCAUCUUUGUUUGCACGAAUCCAAGGCCAAGGAGAAUAGGGACCAAGCUAUGGCUCUCGGGACAAAGUUCUCCCGGCUUUAGAAGAUAAAUGGGCUUCAAAAAUUGGGGUUAGGUUUGAUAAAUCAAUUCCAGAUGGCAAUGAUCUUGGUGGCCUUUGCGAAGAUGAUCGUGGGUUCUUUUGCUCUGCAAAUCAUUUACUACGAGUAGAUGGCUCUGGAGUGGAUGACCUUGGCAAAGUUGCAAUUAAUGAAAUGUUUAAGGUUGCAUCAAAUCAAAGUAAAACUGGCGCACUUGUGUUGUUCAUUAAAGAUAUAGAGAAGGCAAUGGUUGACAACUCUAAAAUUUUAAAAAAGUAAAUUUGAAAGCUUGCCACCGAAUGUCAUGGUAAUUGGUUCUCACACCCAGUUGGAUAAUCGUAAGGAGAAGGAUAACUUGAGUAGACUGCAUCAUAGGAGCAAAGAAACCCACAGUCAUGAAGCAACUUAAUCGCCUUUUUCCAAACAAAGUGACUGUACAGUUGCCUCAGGACGAGGCUUUACUUUAUGACUGGAAGCAACGGUUAGAUCAUGACAUUGAAACUAUGAAAGCUCAGUCCAAUGUUGUCAACAUUCGCUCAGUUCUCAACAAAAUUGGAUUGGUUUGCCCUGAACUUCUGUAUUUAAAACAAAAUCAUCAUUACUCUGGAGCUUAGAACCAACAUCAAGUAUAUCUGAUUUGGGUGCAAUAUAUAAGCUGCUUUUAUAGCAAAUAGUUCUUUAAUGAAGAGAAAGAAAGUAAAGGCUUGACUGUCAUGUUUUAAACUACCAAAUUAUUUUCAUUAGCAAAUUGUCUCAUAUCAGCCAGUCAAAGUAAGUUAUAGUGAGUUGUGACCGUUAUUCCUUUGAGAUUUGGUGAUGGAAUCAUACUUGGGAAUGCAAGAAGUGACACACUCAAAGACCCAAGAGGAGUUGGCUAGACAUGAGGGUUUGGGCCAAUCAGGCCCCAAUGGGCCUGAUGGGGCUAAGAAGGCCCAAGUUGAACUUUUCAUGGACCAUAUUUUAUUAUAGCUAUUUUCAUAUGUUUUGUAUACGUCAUGUUAGUAUAGGUAUCAUAUAUUUUAGUCUUGUA